rnacentral:misc_RNA from 1 species
CAUGUGGCUUCGCCUAAACUCCCCAAACCAUUGUGAAUACCGUAGGUUGCCUCGGCGGCGGUCGGAAGGCCUGGGCCCGGAUCCUCGGGUAUACUGCUCGCGGGGCUGCACGCGGAGGCCGAACUAACUCUAUAUGUUAUCUCUGAGUUACACUUUUAAAUAAGUUA